rnacentral:rRNA from 1 species
AACGAACGCUGGCGGCAUGCCUAACACAUGCAAGUCGAACGAGACCUUCGGGUCUAGUGGCGCACGGGUGCGUAACGCGUGGGAAUCUGCCCUUGGGUUCGGAAUAACAGCGAGAAAUUGCUGCUAAUACCGGAUGAUGACGUAAGUCUAAAGAUUUAUCGCCCAAGGAUGAGCCCGCGUAGGAUUAGCUAGUUGGUGAGGUAACGGCUCACCAAGGCGACGAUCCUUAGCUGGUCUGAGAGGAUGAUCAGCCACACUGGGACUGAGACACGGCCCAGACUCCUACGGGAGGCAGCAGUGGGGAAUAUUGGACAAUGGGGGGCAACCCUGAUCCAGCCAUGCCGCGUGAGUGAAGAAGGCCUUCGGGUUGUAAAGCUCUUUUGGCGGGGACGAUGAUGACGGUACCCGCAGAAUAAGCCCCGGCUAACUUCGUGCCAGCAGCCGCGUAAU